GCUGCCGACUUGAGCCACCGUGUUGAGAGCUCGAGGGCGAGAUAUUUAAUGACAGCCACGGGACCCCCCCCCCCCCCACACACCGAGGCGACAUAAACCGGGCUCGGCUUGGCACGGCAGCUCGCUCCCGUGGACCGCAUGGCUACAUAACAACGGGGGAACACGCAGGCACACACGGUGUGGCCGCGGCGGUGGUUGUAGCAGUAGCAGCAGUAGUCGUGAUGUCGCACGGGUACAGUCGAUGGGGCUUGUGGGUAGAGGUGAGAAGACCCAGGGGUGAAAGUGAAAUGGAAGGGCCCCGUCCUUCUUGCCCGCUUGUUUUUUUUUAAUUGUUGUUGUUGCGAGCGAUGGGACCAUCUGAGACGAGUUCAUCAUCGCCAUCAUCAUCAUCAUCGCCGUCGUCGUCAUCUGUCGGGCGCGCCGCGCUCGCGUGCAGCGCGAAAGGGAACCCGACGCCUUUCAUUCGGGCGAUGGAGCGAUGCAGGGGGUCGGCUCGUUGCUCAAGCAGCCUUGGUGGAGCUCUGCAUCGCGUGGACCGUGCUGGAAUGGUGGUUCGGCUUGGGGAGGCCUUCAUCCAGCAGUGGAUUGAUGACGGCUGAUGAUGAUGAUACACGUUUCAAUAUUGGCCCGAUUUCCACAAAAGCAAUUCUACAUUUGAAUAACGGCUCAGACAAUUGAUAUGCUGUGCUCGUUAAUUAAAGCUUAACGAUGUAUUGCUACGUGUAAUAUUGCACGACGCUGGGUAGAUUGUUUACCGCACAUGGUGGCAGCUUGGGGAUGCCGUAAUUCAGCAGUGGAAUGAUCACGGCCGAGUGAUGAUGAUGAAUGAUGAUGAGCUGCGUUGCAUAAUAAAUGCGAGGCGCACUCGGAAUGUCACAACCGUGCCAAGUCCAUGUAUCUUGCUAUUUCGUCGCUUGCUUGAAAAGAUGAAGCUAAAUGUGUGACACGUAAAAAAAAAACUUUACGUACAAAGUGGAAUAUCGUGCUGAGCGGACCGGUUCACUGAACGUUUUACACUGAAAUAAAAAUACGGCGAUCGUGGAA